CCAAUAGCGUAUAUUAAAGUUGUUGCAGUUAAAAAGCUCGUAGUUGAAUUUCGGGAUUGACACAUCGGUCGUGCCUUAAGGGGUAUGAACUGGUGUAGUCAAUUUCUCACCUUCUGGAGAACCGCGAUGCCCUUAAUUGGGUGUCGCGGGGAACCAGGACCUUUACUUUGAAAAAAUUAGAGUGUUUAAAGCAGGCAUUUUGCUUGAAUACAUUAGCCUGGAAUAAUAAAAUAGUACGGCAUGAUUCUAUUUUGUUGGUUUCUAGGAUCACCGUAAUGAUUAAUAGGGAUAGUUGGGGGCAUUAGUAUUCAAUUGUCAGAGGUGAAAUUCUUGGAGUUAUUGAAGACUAACUACUGCGAAAGCAUUUGCCAAGGAUGUUUUCAUUAAUCAAGAACGAAAGUUAGGGGAUCGAAGACGAUCAGAUACCGUCGUAGUCUUAACCAUAAACUAUGCCGACUAGGAAUCAGACGAUGUUAAUUUUUUAAUGACUCGUUUGGCACCUUACGGGAAAACAAAGUGUUGGGUUC
rnacentral:misc_RNA from 1 species